UCUUCUUCCGUGUCCGAAUUGAAGAGUUUUUUUGAACAGUUGAACGAUAUACAAUACAAACAUUGCACAAUAACACGACGUUGUUCAAAUGUUAAUGUACAUAUUUACAUAUCCCCGUCCACAAAUCCGCCGAAUUCUUCCUCUUCCGUGUCCGAAUUCAACAGUUGGGCGAGUGCGGCAUUCAUUAUGCCCGGCUCCCUCUCAAGUCAAUUCAAAGUCAA